CUUAAAAUUGUGGAUCCCAAGAGUUGUAAGCCACUCUCUGAGUGGGGGUUGCAGUUGGAGAAACUCACCUCUCUAAAAGAGUUGUGGAUCUCUGGUGUAGAUCCAUAUAUGGUGUCCUUUCCACCAGAGGAUAUAGAGUUGAUGCUCCCUAAAUCCCUCAGUAGACUCGACAUUGCAAACUUCCCAAGUCUGAGGCGCCUAUCCAGGAAGGCCCUUCAGUCCCUCACCUCCCUUGAAUAUCUUGAGAUUGCUGAUUGUCAAAAGCUAGCAUCCAUUCCAGAGAAGUAUCUGCCUCUUUCACUUGCAAAACUUCACAUAUAUGCAUGUCCGAAGCUAAAAGAUAGAUACACUUGCAACACAACAUACUGGUCCAAAAUAGCUCACAUCCCUUGCGUACAUAUUGGAGAUGAGUAUUUGAGCCCACUGAAGACUCACAGCUAACAUCCCUGGCCCUUCAAGAGCUAAAGGAUAUAGAUAAAAUGUUCAAAGAUUACAACCCAUUCCAGAUUAUGCUGAACACAUUGGGUGCUGGAGCUGUCGGGCCCGCUGGAACUCUUCAAAGGCGUGUUUAAAGCCAAUCAAUUUAUUGAUUUGCCCUUAAGGAGAUCAACGCCUGUUUAUACCUUUGGCAGUGUUUUAU